UUUCCGUAGGUGAACCUGCGGAAGGAUCAUUAAUGAGAUCAUGCCCUUCGGGGUAGACCUCCCACCCUUUGUUUACAAUACCUUUGUUGCUUUGGCGGCCCCGUCGCAAGACAACCGGCUCCGGCUGGUCAGCGGCCGCCAGAGGACUCAAAACUCAUAUUAUUAUUGUCGUCUGAGUACUAUAUAAUAGUUAAAACUUUCAACAACGGAUCUCUUGGUUCUGGCAUCGAUGAAGAACGCAGC
rnacentral:misc_RNA from 1 species